UUUUGCAAGAUACAAAUGAGUAUCAUCUCUUUGGAAAUGUUGAGUGCAACUGACUCAGAGGUUGCCUUGCACCGAGCUCCUUUCUUGUCAUAUGCAAAACAAUGUCAAAAUGAUUCGGCUCAUUUCUGUUCCUUCGUCACUGAAGUCAUUCGUAGCUUUUUGGAUCAAUAGUGGCUGAGGGAGUUGCGAACAAAUUGCUAAAAUGGAACCACUGGCUGUGCUUCGGUCAACAAGCUUCUCUCUGUUUGUCACUAUGUUGUUAGUGUACGCAGUGCACAUCAGCGGGGACACACUUUGAAAAAUGAAAUCAACCGAUAAAAAGUGAGUCAAUCGACCACCCCUACUGUGGACGAAAAAGGAUCCCUGCUCUUGUUUGUGCUGCAGUCAUAAUAGGAAGUAAAGAACCUUUUCGUGCAGUGACAAUUUCAAAAGUCUGAGGAGCCGCUUUUUCUCCCGCUGUGCAGCAAGAACAUCUCACAAUUUGGAGAAAGACAAGACUUUCACCUGUUUCAUCCGCCAGCUGCCGUCUGUGUUCCUCUGGUGGCUUCCAAACAGGAAAUCAGGUGAGAGCUACAGGAAAUUUCAUUAUUAGAUGCAAUGAAAAAAAAAAACAACGUAAAAAAAAAAUUAUGACACAAUCUGGGGCUCAGAACACAGAUAAACAUCCAUCCAUCCAUUUUCAACACCGCUUAUCUUGAACAGAGUCGCGGAGAGUUGCUGGAGCUGAUUUCAGCUGACUUCAGGCGAAAGGCAGACUACAUCCUAAACUGGUCGCCAGCCAGUCUCAGGGCACAUAUCGAGACAAACAACCAUUCAUAGCCACAUCCAGACCGCCACUGAGUGGGAAUCGAUCCCCACGCUGCCUGUACACAAGCCAGGCGAGUGCAUCACUACAUCAGCGACUCAAGAGUUGAAAUAAUUCACUGCUUUUAGUUCCAAUGAAAUCUUCAAGUGUAAAAAGACUUACUGUGAACAUAUUCAUCACCUACGAGCAUUUGAAACCCAAAUUCUCAUCCAGUUUGCCGCUUGUGGGGCCUUUAUGUCGACUCAUGUCACGACGAUACUCCUUGU